AGUGAACGCUGGCGGUAGGCCUAACACAUGCAAGUCGAACGGCAGCACAGUAAGAGCUUGCUCUUACGGGUGGCGAGUGGCGGACGGGUGAGGAAUACAUCGGAAUCUACUUUUUCGUGGGGGAUAACGUAGGGAAACUUACGCUAAUACCGCAUACGACCUACGGGUGAAAGCAGGGGAUCUUCGGACCUUGCGCGAUUGAAUGAGCCGAUGUCGGAUUAGCUAGUUGGCGGGGUAAAGGCCCACCAAGGCGACGAUCCGUAGCUGGUCUGAGAGGAUGACCAGCCACACUGGAACUGAGACACGGUCCAGACUCCUACGGGAGGCAGCAGUGGGGAAUAUUGGACAAUGGGCGAAAGCCUGAUCCAGCCAUACCGCGUGGGUGAAGAAGGCCUUCGGGUUGUAAAGCCCUUUUGUUGGGAAAGAAAAGCAGCAGGUUAAUACCCCGCUGUUCUGACGGUACCCAAAGAAUAAGCACCGGCUAACUUCGUG
rnacentral:rRNA from 1 species